UACCGAGGUCCCGAGCGUUGUUCGGAUUCACUGGGCGUAAAGGGUGCGUAGGUGGCGAGGUAAGUCGGAUGUGAAAGCUCGGAGCUCAACUCCGAAAUGGCAUUGGAAACUACCUUGCUCGAGGGUUGGAGGGGGGACUGGAAUACUUGGUGUAGCAGUGAAAUGCGUAGAUAUCGUAAGGAAGACCAGUGGCGAAGGCGAGUCUCUGGACAGCAACUGACGCUGAGGCACGAAGGCCAGGGGAGCAAACGGG
rnacentral:rRNA from 1 species